AUGGCGAGCUUUUCAUUCAUUCUCCCUGAAGACGGACAUUGUUCUUUUAAGGACAACGACGUUAACUCAGGGUGGAUCUCAAUGGUGACCCAACUCAACACCCUUGAAGGUCCAGAGUCAAAGAGUCAGAACAUCCGUCUGAGCUUUGCAGAGGAACUUGGUGACAAGUACCACUACGCGAAUGCCAUCGACAGCUCUCUGCUCUGGACUGUUGGGUACACCCCCUACAUUCCCCCAGCUCUGAAAGGAAGAAGCUUCCCCUCUGUCGAGAGCUUCUUCCUGGAUGAGUGGGAGCCACUGACACUCCUGCAGACUCCUCAGGUUCUGUCCACCAGUGUUUCCAUCGAGGAAGACAACCUGAUCCAGUCUGCUGCAGGCCUAGUGUCUCAGGUUCUGUCCACCAGUGUUGCCAUCGUGGAGAAUGACCUGAUCCAGUCUGCUGCAGGCGUAGUGUCUCAGGUUCUGUCCACCAGUGUUCCCAUCGUGGAGAAUGACCUGAUCCAGUCUGCUGCAGGCGUAGUGUCUCAGGUUCUGUCCACCAGUGUUCCCAUCGUGGAGAAUGACAUGAUCCAGUCUGCUGCAGGCCUAGUGUCUCAGGUUCUGUCCACCAGUGUUACCAUCAUGGAGAAUGACCUGAUCCAGUCUGCUGCAGGCGUAGUGUCUCAGGUUCUGUCCACCAGUGUUGCCAUCGUGGAGAAUGACCUGAUCCAGUCUGCUGCAGGCCUUGGGUCCCUGGUCCUGUCCACCAGUGUUACAAUCAUGGAAAAUGACCUGAUCCAGUCUGCUGCAGGCGUAGUGUCUCAGGUUCUGUCCACCAGUGUUCCCAUCGUGGAGAAUGACCUGAUCCAGUCUGCUGCAGGUCUAGUGUCUCAGGUUCUGUCCACCAGUGUUGCCAUCGUGGAGAAUGACCUGAUUCAGUCUGCUGCAGGCCUAGUGUCUCAGGUUCUGUCCACCAGUGUUACCAUCAUGGAGAAUGACCUGAUCCAGUCUGCUGCAGGUCUAGUGUCUCAGGUUCUGUCCACCAGUGUUGCCAUCGUGGAGAGUGACCUGAUCCAGUCUGCUGCAGGCCUAGUGUCUCAGGUUCUGUCUACCAGUGUUGCCAUUGUGGAAAACGACCUGAUCCAGUCUGCUACAAACCUAAUGUCUCAGGAUGAUGACUCCACCCUGAGAGCCUCCAACCAACCUGAGGUCCUUGUGGCUGAUGUCUCAACCAAGAGAAGUAGACUAGUCAUCACUAUUUCUAUGGUUUCAACCAAGAGUUGCCUUGUUGCUCUACAUGAAGAUGAUGCUAGUGCUACAAGCCUGGAGCAAUCUGCUGAGAAAAUGUCUACCUCUACUACUGAUGUCAACGACAUCUCAACUGCUGCUUCCAAGAAGAAAAAGAGAUGUGGAUUAUUCUCAUCUCUCUGGAGAGCUCUCAGGGGGAAGAACAAGAAGCCUGUAAGUAUUAACUCAUAUACUCUUAGUCUCUUUUGUACUUAAUAUAAUCAUUUAUCAACUAUUUUGACACUAAUAUCCAGUGUUAAUGGCUGUCUGUGAAAUAGGUUUUCUAUAUUUUCUACCUUUUGUUUUUUUUCCAGGCUAAAGUGGCUUCCAAGAAAGAGGAUGAAAUCAACAAGGAUGUGAGCAGCCUCACCUGCCACCACAACACUACACAAGGAGAUCACUGAUGCAGGCACCCACAAUGGUGUUCCUAUUUUUUAUCACACUUUGUCUUCAUCCCCAAUCCCUUUCUUCAGUAAACCUUUUGUCAUUGCAUUCGAUUGCGUUUGUCUUUCAUUGGGAUCACUGUCAUUGAAAAGACAAGGGGUUUCGUAGUUCAACUACUUGUCAAUAAAUCACUGGUUAACCUUCAAACUCCGAAUUGAGACAACCGAGGCAAAGACGUCAGCAGGAGGGCAACUGUGACCUUCAGAAAUGUGCAAUUAGGUGAAAAGUUAGUAACCAUGUAACAACGCUAAUACCAUCAGUUCUGUCCACAUUUCCCAGAGAAUAACAGCCGUUCUCGCUCAGCGCCUCAAGAUGGAGUAGUAAGCACAAUUAUAAUGGAUCCCCUCAUAAUGAUGCUUUUAUCAGCUGUUGGAUGUGGGGAUAUUCCCAUAUUAGGAAUUCCUGUGGGAGAUUUAUACCGUGAAUAAGUAUGAUAAUUGGACAUUGUACAUGGAUUGUCUAUGGCUACUGAGUAUUUCCAUCAUGUGAUUGUAGCCUAGGUUAUGAUUCUGUUAUGAUGAGGUUCACAUUGCAGUUGUCUCCUUAGACAUGACUGACUCGUGGUAUUGAAAUCUAUUACAUUACGUUGAUGCAUCAUGAAGUAACCCAUGUGUGUGUAGGAGUUUAAGCACAGGCAUAAUGUAGACGAGGUGUUCAUGUAAGUGUGUUUUCCGUUUGUUCUUUGUCAGAUUAAGAUAUAUAACAGAUGGUGUGACAUGGCUAUAGUUUACGUUUUCCCUCAUUUUUCAAACCACCACCAACAAAUUCCAACCCUGUUCUCAAUUACAUUCACUAUUCCAUUCCAUUUCUGAGGGCUCUUCUACAAAACAAUGUUAUGAGAAUGAAACCUGAAACCAAUAGCCAUCUCCAUUAUUUAGGUUACAGCGAGAGGCUAAAAAUAUCCAGUUCUGACUGGUAGUAGUCACGACCUAAAUUAUGACAAAAUUCUGCACCACUGGUAGUUGACGUCAAUACAGUACAGUCACUUCCUCGGUGACGUAAUCGAACGGACUCGAUCGGUAGCAUUGCCAUCUGCUGGAUGGACUCCGACUCGAGCCCCGUAACAUUACGUCACUGGAAAGGAACCGAUGCCAGUGUUUGGGUCUAGGUUUGAAUACAAAGAGAUGAAUAGCCGACCAUUAGAACUGAUACUCGACAGUAAGAACCUGAGCUACAAUUAAUACGCAUUUAGGCUACAGUAAAUUCUUAAAUAAGUACUCAAUAUGCUUCAGGCGUUUUCUGGAGAGUUUUGGGGAAUCUUGUGACUAAGAAUGUUUCAAAUGAAUUGAGUGUGCAUCAUUGGUAAUGAGAAAAUAGUUGCACAGUCAGCAAAACAGCGUAGGGGUUUUGACUUCAGUUCAUUGCCGUUUAUGUAAAUUCUGCUGUAUAGACUAGCCAGUAUCAUGGUCGUCGUGCAUUUUUUGUUUAAUAUAUUUCAAAAGACAAGGCCUCGACAAUGAAGUGAAUGGAUAGAUAGCAAAAACGAGCAUUAGCUGAUUUAAAACUGUUGCAAUUAUGGUACUUAUGAGUUGUGCUUAAAUGUCUCUGUCCAUGGUGCUGAAAUGUUUUUUCUUUAUCGUGACUGAGAAACGCAUUGCAGGAUGUCCAUUGUACUGAUCCUAUUUUAUUGACAAUCAAAGAUGUUAUUCGAUUCUACUGAUACACACUGUAUGUUCAUCCAGCUAUAUGUUAUGUUGGAUAUUGUUUGAAAUAUAGCUGGUAAGAGUGAUUGUCAUUUGCAUCUCUGACGCAACUUUCAGGAAUCAAACUGAACGUUGAUAAAGUCUAGGACGUUGAACUCUCAGACAGAACCCAGUUUAGUCUUUCCUGUGGAUCAAUAUUUUACGGUCUUAGCGGUCAAUGAAUGUUGGAGCUAUAACGACGGGAACGCGCACUAUUUUUGGUUCAUGUUUGCAGGUGUGUGUGUGUGUGUGUGUGUGGUGCCAGCCAGGGUGGCGUGACUCCUGAAAUAAGUGAGGUUGGGAAAAAG
ensembl:lncRNA